AACGCAUGCAUGCUUCAAGCCCUCGUUAAAAUAAAAUCGCGCCAGGUGUCGUUUGUGGCCACAUCAUGCACAAAGAGAGCGAGCACUUGAGCUGUGCUCUGUGUGUGUGUGUGUGUGUCGCGAGCCGGCAAAAUAUGGGAAACAAGAGCCCCCAUCAUACACUUCGAAAUUGUCGGGGAGUGCCCGUUAAGCUUUGACUACCGCGGUCCGCCGAGAGGUGAGGGCGAGCAAUCGCUCAGGACGCAGCAGUGUUACGUAGUGGUACACGGAUGGUAAAAACGUCAAAGAUAGGGUUGAUCCGCAGGGAAGCGCGAGUGCUCAUGUGUUUGUGUGUGAGCAAAGGCGAACCUUCAGAGACUCUAAUGAAGUGGGCGAAAGCUUAAGGGAGAGUCCAAUCCACGGGGAGACCCGGUCCACAGGAGUAAGGGGGCGCUGCUCACCCCCGAGGACUGUGGAUGAAGACAGACAGACACAGAAGAGUCUAUGUCUUCAGGUAGUCAAUGGAUUGGGACAACAGCAGACACACACACACACACCAAUGUGCGUGUGCGUGUGUGUGUGUGUGUGUGUGUGUGAUCCCUCUGUGGGAAAACGUACAUGAAGCCUUUGCGGCCCGAAAGGGUGCACAGUACGCGACUAUAAAUACUGAUUCUGUGGUUAACGCAAGCGGCGCUUCGCACCACGCUCUUGGCAAAAGAGGCAUGUGAUGAAGCCGCGACUUUCUCAAAUCGCGGGAACACCCUAAAGCCAGAAGAUACCGCGGUCCGUUGGACAACAAACAACGGGCGACAGCAGUCGGGGUAGUGCCCUGAUGGAUGGUAACAACUCUUCUGGAUCGCUCUCUCUCGCUCGCGCGCCGCUCUUAUUGGUGGCGCGCCAGCAGAAGGCAAUGGGCAAUCCGCAGCCAAGCUCCAUAGUCCCUUCCCCCCCCCCCCCAAGGGGAGAGAGACUGGAGAAGGUUCACAGACUGUAAGGGAAGGGGUCUUUUACAUAAAAGGCUUAAGAGACAGUCGGUCCCCUGCGAAAGCAGAGUCUCAUGUGAGGAAGGCACUCAUGAAAAGUGAGAGCUGGAGAGCACUGAGAAUCUAGAGAACGCCACUCUUUGAGUGGGCGGGACUCUCUAGGUGGGGAGUUUUCUCAAUGAAAAAAGAUAAGACUAUACAACGUUCCGUA
rnacentral:rRNA from 1 species